CCUACGGGAGGCUGCAGUGGGGAAUAUUGGACAAUGGGCGAAAGCCUGAUCCAGCCAUGCCGCGUGUGUGAAGAAGGCCUUCGGGUUGUAAGCACUUUCAGUGGGGAAGAAAGCCUUGGGGCUAAUACCCUCGAGGAAGGACAUCACCCACAGAAGAAGCACCGGCUAACUCCGUGCCAGCAGCCGCGGUAAUACGGAGGGUGCGAGCGUUAAUCGGAAUUACUGGGCGUAAAGCGCGCGUAGGCGGUCUGAUAAGCCGGUUGUGAAAGCCCCGGGCUCAACCUGGGAACGGCAUCCGGAACUGUCAGGCUAGAGUGCAGGAGAGGAAGGUAGAAUUCCCGGUGUAGCGGUGAAAUGCGUAGAGAUCGGGAGGAAUACCAGUGGCGAAGGCGGCCUUCUGGACCGACACUGACGCUGAGGUGCGAAAGCGUGGGUAGCAAACAGGAUUAGAUACCCCAGUAGUC
rnacentral:rRNA from 1 species